GCUGGGUAUGGCAGUGCACGCCUAUGUUCCCAGCUACUUGGGAGGCUAAGGCAGGAGGACUGCUUGAGCCUAGGAGUUGUAAGCCAGUCUGGGCAACACAGUGAGGCUCUGUCUCAA
rnacentral:sRNA from 1 species